rnacentral:lncRNA from 1 species
CGCACCAAAACUCUGGAAAGGCCCCGUUUUUUCGUCCAUUGGCUGCCAACUAACCGACAAUGACCAACCGACUGUAACCACAGGUAGGGCGUUUGUUUGCAACUCUGGAUUCAUCAGGUAUGUCUCAGCCAGCAGCAAUUCAAGUCAGCAUACACACGAAAGCCGCCAAGCAUCAACCCUUAAACCCAGGAUAAGUCCUAGAUCCCUAAAACCUUACAGUUUUGGCCUUCACUUGCUACAGUACCGUACUUAAUGCUGCAGUAGAAAGGGUGGUGCGGGUAUAGAUGGCUUGUAUAAUGUAGUAUUUGGGACAUAUCAGGGGAUCUGCAUCCACCGAUUGGUGCUUUCCUGAAGUCGUGGUAUAAUGCAUCUGCAGGACGCCCCUGCAUGUCGACAUGCCCAAACAUUGCGUGUAGCUCUCCUAGCUAGAUUGAUGCUCAGUACUAGUAUUUUCUCUAGCCAGAUGCAUGGCGGCAGGGUUACCUGCAUGCAUGUGUAUGUACCUAGACAGCAAUCUGUACUAUUAUGGUGGAAGGGCCCCCUAUAGCUGUGGCUAGUUUUCUCACGUAGCUAUAGGUCUGGGAGGCCAGGCACAUCAUUGAGAAGCCCCGCCCACCCUAAGGCACUGAUUGGGUCGGUAACCCAUGGGUUACCCAUCGGUUACCCACCUUCAACCCCAAAUUUUAGUAGAAGAUUUAGAACUAUGUAUGUAUUCAGUUUUAGCGUUUGUUCCCGCUUUGAGGGCAUGAAAGUCCCGAAUAAGAUUAUUCAUUCGCAUUCAUACAGUUCGAAGUGGAUUGGGGAACGCAAUUUAGCUUGAAAUCCAUUGUGUCUCUGGCUAGUUCUGAAAAGAAAUCAAUCGUGGAUUAACAAGUUUCCCUUUCCCUUCUUCGCCGGUCAAUCGCAGACGCCUCCGCGCCAGGCUCUGCCAGCUGCAGGCUUGUGGCAAACGGCCGCUGAGGGGCGGCUGGACAGCCGGCGGGCCGGGAUGGGGUUGGUUCGGUCGAGUCUUUUAGCCUAGUAGUGUGGCCUUGAGAGCUCAGAAGGGAUAGUGCUUGGUGUAGGGGGAAACUAGUCAGCUUAACCUGCAGGGAUUUUCCCGGGUUCAGGAGGUAGCUACCUCUAUAGAUGUCGCCACAUGAGAGUCUGAGAGUCGUUCGAAGUUCUUUGGAUAGGUUUAUGCGUCAUGCGCGUGUUGCCCCGCUGAGGGCAAUGGUGGGCAGCACGAGGGGGGUAUAGUGGCCGUGGGCCUGGGGUUGUGUUUUUCUGCAGUGUAAG